GCUUGCUUGUUGGGGUUGUAGGACACUCUAUACGGAGUUACAAAGGACGACAUUAGACGAAUCAUCCGGAAAGAUGAAUCAAAGAAGGUAAUAAUCCUGUAGUCGAAAAUGUUGUCUCUCUUGAGUGGAUCCUGAGUACGACGGAGCACGUGGAAUUCCGUCGGAAUCUGGGAGGACCAUCUCCUAAGGCUAAAUACUCUCUAGUGACCGAUAGUGAACCAGUACCGUGAGGGAAAGGUGAAAAGCACCCCGGAAGGGGAGUGAAAUAGAACCUGAAACCGUGUGCUUACAAGUAGUCAGAGCCCGUUAAUGGGUGAUGGCGUGCCUUUUGUAGAAUGAACCGGCGAGUUACGAUUUGAUGCAAGGUUAAGCAGUAAAUGUGGAGCCGUAGCGAAAGCGAGUCUGAAUAGGGCGUUUAGUAUUUGGUCGUAGACCCGAAACCAGGUGAUCUACCCUUGGUCAGGUUGAAGUUCAGGUAACACUGAAUGGAGGACCGAACCGACUUACGUUGAAAAGUGAGCGGAUGAACUGAGGGUAGCGGAGAAAUUCCAAUCGAACCUGGAGAUAGCUGGUUCUCUCCGAAAUAGCUUUAGGGCUAGCCUCAAGUGAUGAUUAUUGGAGGUAGAGCACUGUUUGGACGAGGGGCCCCUCUCGGGUUACCGAAUUCAGACAAACUCCGAAUGCCAAUUAAUUUAACUUGGGAGUCAGAACAUGGGUGAUAAGGUCCGUGUUCGAAAGGGAAACAGCCCAGACCACCAGCUAAGGUCCCAAAAUAUAUGUUAAGUGGAAAAGGAUGUGGCGUUGCCCAGACAACUAGGAUGUUGGCUUAGAAGCAGCCAUCAUUUAAAGAGUGCGUAAUAGCUCACUAGUCGAGUGACACUGCGCCGAAAAUGUACCGGGGCUAAACAUAUUACCGAAGCUGUGGAUUGUCCUUUGGACAAUGGUAGGAGAGCGUUCUAAGG
rnacentral:rRNA from 1 species